rnacentral:lncRNA from 1 species
GGGGUGAUUGAUAAGCGCGGGCGGGGGUCCGCCGGCCCGCCCUCUACCUCGCCUGCCUCCUCCCCCUCCCGCCUCCUCUCCGCCUCCCUCCCGGUUCCCUCCCUCCUUCCUGCCGGUAGCGCUGCCCGGCGGCGAGCGGCUCCAGUGGGGAUCCGCCUGCCCUUGGGGGCGCCGCCCGCGCUCUCCGCCGAGCCUUUGCUCCCGGGCCGCGCCGGGCUGAGGCCGCGCCGCCUCCCGCGCCUCCCCAGCUCGCGGAUGUCGGGGGCGCCUCCGGGGGAAGCUCCGGGCGGCGCGUUCGCCGGAUGCUAAACUACCGGCGGACUGCAGAGGAGAGGGGUCCCGUCUUCUCCUGAUGCUUAAAAAAACAAAACAACAACAAAAAAAAGUAGAGCAAUUUCUGCUGCGAGCCCAGGACGGUCAAGCCGCCCGAGAUAGCUUCAAGAUAUCCCCCAGGGGCGGAGGAGGAGGCGAUGGGCUGGAUUUAGUAGGACAACUCGGUUACUAAUGACUUCGUGGCUGGCUGCGACCCGCUGGGAAAUCAGGUGCAAGCAUGUGGGUGCCGGGACGCGUGGGUGGGUCGGUGGGUGGGUGGGCCGGGAG